AGAAUCAACGCUGGCGGCGUGCCUAACACAUGCAAGUCGAUCGAGAAAGUGGAGCAAUCCAUGAGUAAAGAGGCGCACGGGUGAGUAACACGUGACUAACCUACCUUCGAGUGGGGAAUAACCUGGGGAAACCCGGGCUAAUACCGCAUAAUACCUACGGGUCAAAGGAGCAAUUCGCUUGAAGAGGGGGUCGCGGCAGAUUAGUUAGUUGGCGGGGUAAUGGCCCACCAAGACGAUGAUCUGUAUCCGGCCUGAGAGGGCGCACGGACACACUGGAACUGAAACACGGUCCAGACUCCUACGGGAGGCAGCAGUGGGGAAUUUUGCGCAAUGGGGGAAACCCUGACGCAGCAACGCCGCGUGGAGGAUGAAGUCCCUUGGGACGUAAACUCCUUUCGACCGGGACGAUUAUGACGGUACCGGAUAAAGAAGCCCCGGCUAACUUCGUGCCAGCAGCC
rnacentral:rRNA from 1 species